UGCAUCGGCCGGGAAUCGAACCCGGGGCGCCCGCGUGGCAGGCACACAAGCAUUCUACCACUAUACCAGAAGC